rnacentral:rRNA from 1 species
UAACUGCGAGUGAAGAGGGAAAAGCUCAAAUUUAAAAUCUGGCAGCUUCGCUGUCCGAGUUGUAAUUUAGAGAAGUGUUACCCGCGUUGGACCGUGUACAAGUCUCCUGGAACGGAGCGUCAUAGAGGGUGAGAAUCCCGUCUUUGACACGGACUACCAAUGCUUUGUGGUAUGCUCUCGAAGAGUCGUGUUGUUUGGGAAUGCAGCACUAAAUGGGUGGUAAAUUCCAUCUAAAGCUAAAUAUUGGCGAGAGACCGAUAGCAAACAAGUACCGUGAGGGAAAGAUGAAAAGAACUUUGGAAAGAGAGUUAAACAGUACGUGAAAUUGUUGAAAGGGAAACGCUUAAAGUCCAGUCGCGUUGGUUGGAAAUCAGUCUUGCUUUUGCUUGAUGUACUUUCUAAUUGACGGGUCAACAUCAGUUUUGACCGUUGGAUAAAGGUUGUAGGAAUGUGGCAUCUUCGGAUGUGUUAUAGCCUUCAAUUGUAUACAACGGUUGGGACUGAGGAACUCAGCACGCCGCAAGGCCGGGUCUUUGUACCACGUUCGUGCUUAGGAUGUUGGCAUAAUGGCUUUAAUCGACCCGUCUUGAAACACGGACCAAGGAGUCUAACAUGCCUGCGAGUAUUUGGGUGGAAAACCCGAGUGCGCAAUGAAAGUGAAAGUUGAGAACUCUUUAGAGUGCAUCGACGCCCGGACCAGACGUUUUCUGACGGAUCCGCGGUAGAGCAUGUAUGUUGGGACCCGAAAGAUGGUGAACUAUGCCUGAAUAGGGUGAAGCCAGAGGAAACUCUGGUGGAGGCUCGUAGCGAUU